GACGAACGCUGGCGGCGUGCCUAAUACAUGCAAGUCGAACGCAGUGGGGACGGGUGAGUAACACGUGGGUGACCUCCCAUCAGAGGGGAUAACACUUGGAAACAGGUGCUAAACCGAUCCGGAUGGAUGGACCCGCGGUGCAUUAGCUAGUGGGUGAGGUAACGGCUCACCAAGGCCACGAUGCAUAGCUGAACUGAGAGGGUGAUCGGCCACACUGGGACUGAGACACGGCCCAGACUCCUACGGGAGGCAGCAGUAGGGAAUCUUCGGCAAUGGACGAAAGUCUGACCGAGCAAUGCCGCGUGAGUGAAGAAGGCUUUCGGAUCGUAAAACUCUGUCGUCAGAGAAGCGGUACCCACCGAGAAAGCCACGGCUAACUACGUGCCAGCAGCCGCGGUAAUUC
rnacentral:rRNA from 1 species